UACGUAGGGUGCGAGCGUUACUCGGAAUUACUGGGCGUAAAGCGUGCGCAGGCGGUUUUGAAAGACAGGCGUGAAAGCCCCGGGCUCAACCUGGGAAGUGCACUCGAUACUGCCCGGCUAGAGUACUGGAGAGGUUGGUGGAAUUCUCGGUGUAGAGGUGAAAUUCGUAGAUAUCGAGAGGAACACCGGUGGCGAAGGCGGCCAACUGGACAGAUACUGACGCUGAGACACGAAAGCGUGGGGAGCAAACAGG
rnacentral:rRNA from 1 species